UACUGGCGGUCGCAAGCCUGAGAGCUGUGAGCGUCGAUAGAAACUCCAUUUAUACGGCCGCUGAAUUUACUGCAUUCCUGAGAAGCGAAUGGUGGUUUAUAAUAACUGACCUCAAGUAACACAAAUACGGAUCAGGCAGGGGUGGGAAAACUGGCUGGGAGGCUGAAAACAUUUGGAGGGAAAUGGUGAGAUGAUCCUGAUGGCCGUGGAUUUGUAGCAGCAGGAAUCACCCUUCCGAAACUUGCUUUGGAGAGAGGCACAGCCAUUUCCUGAGCCCAGAGUGCCACAUGCAGAUUCAAGCCUGUGCAGACUGAGACAAAAUGCACAGUUUGUCAUUCAUAACAGGAGAGGCUGGCGAGAUACUUCAGAACAGAAAAUACUGACGUGAGUCUAUGCAUGUCUGCUCAAAAGUAAGUUCCAUUGAGUCCGAUGGUGCUUACUCCUAGAGCCUCUUUGAAAAAAACGGAUUGUCCUUUCAUUUAGCAUCUCCUCCCCCAUCGUUCAGUCUUCCUCUGAGUGGCUUCUGCUGGUUCCCUCACUGUGAGAAGCGAAGUUACAGGGAAACAGGCAGAAGGCCUUCUCAGUAGUGGCGCUCUCCCUGUGGAACGCCCUCCCUUCAGAUGUCAAGGAAAGAAACAACUAACUGACUUUUAGUAGACAUCUGAAGGCAGCCCUGUUUAGGGAAGUUUUUUAAUGUUUGAUGUUUUAUCAUGUUUUUACUAUUCUGCUGGGAGCUACCCAGAGUGGUUGGGAAACCUUAUCCAGAAUGGUGGGGUAUAAAUAAUAAAAUUGUUUGGAGGUUCUAGCAGGAGAGCGCAGCUAUCGUAUACCCUUGACCGAAGAACGGUACACGCCUUCUAUCUGGGAUGGUCAUCCUCUUCCACCGAGCGCACAGCUUUGGGAGGGAUGCACAUGGAGCGGUGAGGGAGGAAGGGGACACCCGUCUAGCCAGCCAGAUCAGCCGAAUCAACCCUGGCGAUCAAUGGGGUGACAGAUGUCGCAGCCAGAUCGCCCUCACAACUAAAGAAUCAUGGCAAGAAAAAUUGAUGGACUAUGCAGAACUGGCAAAACUGACAUACAAGCUACGGGACAAGGAUAACUGUGACUUUAAAGAUGAAUGGGAACCCUUUACAAAGUAUUUGAAGACGCAACAAAGCGAACUGGACUCCUUGGCUGGUUUUGAAUAAACAUUCACAAACUUUU